GUUAUAUGGUCAAGUGAAGAAGCGCAUACGGUGGAUGCCUUGGCAGUCAGAGGCGAUGAAAGACGUGGUAGCCUGCGAAAAGCUUCGGGGAGUCGGCAAACAGACUGUGAUCCGGAGAUAUCUGAAUGGGGGAACCCAGCCAUCAUAAGAUGGUUAUCUUGUACUGAAUACAUAGGUGCAAGAGGCGAACCAGGGGAACUGAAACAUCUAAGUACCCUGAGGAAAAGAAAUCAACCGAGAUUCCCUUAGUAGUGGCGAGCGAACGGGGACCAGCCCUUAAGUUGUAUUGAGAUUAGCGGAACGUUCUGGAAAGGACGGCCAUAGUGGGUGAUAGCCCUGUACGCGAAAAUCCCUUUGCAAUGAAAUCGAGUAGGACGGGGCACGAGAAACCUUGUCUGAAUAUGGGGGGACCAUCCUCCAAGGCUAAAUACUACUGACUGACCGAUAGUGAACCAGUACCGUGAGGGAAAGGCGAAAAGAACCGCGGAGAGCGGAGUGAAAUAGAUCCUGAAACCGUAUGCGUACAAGCAGUGGGAGCCCACUUUGUUGGGUGACUGCGUACCUUUUGUAUAAUGGGUCAGCGACUUAUUUUCAGUGGCGAGCUUAACCGAAUAGGGGAGGCGUAGCGAAAGCGAGUCUUAAUAGGGCGUCUAGUCGCUGGGAAUAGACCCGAAACCGGGCGAUCUAUCCAUGGGCAGGUUGAAGGUUGGGUAACACUAACUGGAGGACCGAACCGACUACCGUUGAAAAGUUAGCGGAUGACCUGUGGAUCGGAGUGAAAGGCUAAUCAAGCUCGGAGAUAGCUGGUUCUCCUCGAAAGCUAUUUAGGUAGCGCCUCAUGUAUCACUGUAGGGGGUAGAGCACUGUUUCGGCUAGGGGGUCAUCCCGACUUACCAAACCGAUGCAAACUCCGAAUACCUACAAGUGCCGAGCAUGGGAGACACACGGCGGGUGCUAACGUCCGUCGUGAAAAGGGAAACAACCCAGACCGUCAGCUAAGGUCCCAAAGUCAUGGUUAAGUGGGAAACGAUGUGGGAAGGCUUAGACAGCUAGGAGGUUGGCUUAGAAGCAGCCACCCUUUAAAGAAAGCGUAAUAGCUCACUAGUCGAGUCGGCCUGCGCGGAAGAUGUAACGGGGCUCAAACCAUGCACCGAAGCUACGGGUAUCAUCUUAUGAUGAUGCGGUAGAGGAGCGUUCUGUAAGCCUGUGAAGGUGAGUUGAGAAGCUUGCUGGAGGUAUCAGAAGUGCGAAUGCUGACAUGAGUAACGACAAUGGGUGUGAAAAACACCCACGCCGAAAGACCAAGGUUUCCUGCGCAACGUUAAUCGACGCAGGGUUAGUCGGUCCCUAAGGCGAGGCUGAAAAGCGUAGUCGAUGGAAAACAGGUUAAUAUUCCUGUACUUCUGGUUAUUGCGAUGGAGGGACGGAGAAGGCUAGGCCAGCCUGGCGUUGGUUGUCCAGGUUUAAGGUGGUAGGCUGAGAUCUUAGGUAAAUCCGGGAUCUUAAGGCCGAGAGCUGAUGACGAGUGUUCUUUUAGAACACGAAGUGGUUGAUGCCAUGCUUCCAAGAAAAGCUUCUAAGCUUCAGGUAACCAGGAACCGUACCCCAAACCGACACAGGUGGUUGGGUAGAGAAUACCAAGGCGCUUGAGAGAACUCGGGUGAAGGAACUAGGCAAAAUGGCACCGUAACUUCGGGAGAAGGUGCGCCGGUGGAGGUGAAGCAUUUACUGCGUAAGCCCCUGCCGGUCGAAGAUACCAGGCCGCUGCGACUGUUUAUUAAAAACACAGCACUCUGCAAACACGAAAGUGGACGUAUAGGGUGUGACGCCUGCCCGGUGCCGGAAGGUUAAUUGAUGGGGUUAGCGCAAGCGAAGCUCUUGAUCGAAGCCCCGGUAAACGGCGGCCGUAACUAUAACGGUCCUAAGGUAGCGAAAUUCCUUGUCGGGUAAGUUCCGACCUGCACGAAUGGCGUAACGAUGGCGGCGCUGUCUCCACCCGAGACUCAGUGAAAUUGAAAUCGCUGUGAAGAUGCAGUGUAUCCGCGGCUAGACGGAAAGACCCCGUGAACCUUUACUAUAGCUUUGCACUGGACUUUGAAUUUGCUUGUGUAGGAUAGGUGGGAGGCUUUGAAGCGUGGACGCCAGUCUGCGUGGAGCCAACCUUGAAAUACCACCCUGGCAACUUUGAGGUUCUAACUCAGGUCCGUUAUCCGGAUCGAGGACAGUGUAUGGUGGGUAGUUUGACUGGGGCGGUCUCCUCCUAAAGAGUAACGGAGGAGUACGAAGGUGCGCUCAGACCGGUCGGAAAUCGGUCGUAGAGUAUAAAGGCAAAAGCGCGCUUGACUGCGAGACAGACACGUCGAGCAGGUACGAAAGUAGGUCUUAGUGAUCCGGUGGUUCUGUAUGGAAGGGCCAUCGCUCAACGGAUAAAAGGUACUCCGGGGAUAACAGGCUGAUACCGCCCAAGAGUUCAUAUCGACGGCGGUGUUUGGCACCUCGAUGUCGGCUCAUCACAUCCUGGGGCUGAAGCCGGUCCCAAGGGUAUGGCUGUUCGCCAUUUAAAGUGGUACGCGAGCUGGGUUUAGAACGUCGUGAGACAGUUCGGUCCCUAUCUGCCGUGGACGUUUGAGAUUUGAGAGGGGCUGCUCCUAGUACGAGAGGACCGGAGUGGACGAACCUCUGGUGUUCCGGUUGUCACGCCAGUGGCAUUGCCGGGUAGCUAUGUUCGGAAAAGAUAACCGCUGAAAGCAUCUAAGCGGGAAACUUGCCUCAAGAUGAGAUCUCACUGGAACCUUGAGUUCCCUGAAGGGCCGUCGAAGACUACGACGUUGAUAGGUUGGGUGUGUAAGCGCUGUGAGGCGUUGAGCUAACCAAUACUAAUUGCCCGUGAGGCUUGACCAUAUAACACCCAAGCAAUU
rnacentral:rRNA from 1 species